rnacentral:rRNA from 1 species
UACGAAGGGGGCUAGCGUUGCUCGGAAUCACUGGGCGUAAAGCGCACGUAGGCGGACUCUUAAGUCGGUGGUGAAAUCCUGGAGCUCAACUCCAGAACUGCCUUCGAUACUGGGAGUCUCGAGUCCGGGAGAGGUGAGUGGAACUGCGAGUGUAGAGGUGAAAUUCGUAGAUAUUCGCAAGAACACCAGUGGCGAAGGCGGCUCACUGGCCCGGUACUGACGCUGAGGCGCGAAAGCUAGGGGAGCAAACGGG